rnacentral:rRNA from 1 species
AUGGCGCAGCCGAACCACCGGUACGGCGGCCACCGUGACCUGGAAGCCGUGAUAGACAUGGACCACCCGGAGAAGCCGACCGCGAAAGGCGGCAGCCGGUUCAGCUUCACCGGCGGGCUGGAGUUCACCAGCCUUACGUACACGGUGGUCAAGAAGCAGCGCGGAGUCGGCGGGGAGUGGGAGAAGAAGGACGUGGACCUUCUGCACGAGAUCACGGGGUACGCGCCCAAAGGCUGCGUCACCGCCGUGAUGGGUCCCAGCGGCGCCGGCAAGUCGACAUUCCUGGACGCGCUCGCCGGGCGCAUCUCCAGCCUCGACGGCCGCGUGGCGCUCGACGGCGUCGAGAUGAGCCCCAGCGUCAUCAAGCGUUCGUCCGCCUACGUCAUGCAGGACGACCGCCUCUUCCCCAUGCUCACCGUCUACGAGACGCUCUUGUUCGCCGCCGACUUCCGCCUCGGCUCCGCCGUUUCCCCCUCCGACAAGAAGCUCCGCGUCGACAACCUCAUCGAGCAGCUCGGACUCACGACAUCAAGAAACACGUACAUCGGGGACGAGGGCACGAGGGGCGUGUCCGGCGGAGAGCGCCGGCGCGUCUCGAUCGGCGUGGACAUCAUCCACGGGCCGGCGCUGCUGUUCCUCGACGAGCCGACGUCGGGGCUCGACUCGACGAGCGCGCACAGCGUGAUCGAGAAGGUGCACGACAUCGCGUGCGCAGGGAGCACCGUGGUGCUGACCAUCCACCAGCCGUCGUCGCGGAUCCUGCAGCUCCUCGACCACCUCAUCAUCCUGGCACGCGGGCAGCUAAUGUACAGCGGCGGGCCCAAGGAGGUGACCGCGCACCUCGGCCGCAUGGGCCGCAAGGUGCCCAAAGGGGAGAACUCCAUCGAGCACCUCCUCGACGUCAUCCAGGAGUACGACCAGUCCGAGUUCGGCGUCAACGCCCUCGCCGAGUUCUGCCUCACCGGUCUGAAGCCGCGCAAGCUCGCCGCCGAGGGGAUCUCCACCGUGUCUAGCAUCCCUCCGACACCGGUUGGGCCCGGGGGCGAGGACUUCGACCACAGCCUCAGGAGCCAGCACUCCAAGUCCCCGUGGAGCGGCGCGCAGUUCACGCCGUCCCGGCGCCCCAAGAAAGAUCAAAGCGGCAAGUCACAGAACCCUCCAAGCUUGUCUCCGGGAAUCCACAGGUACGGGCCGGAGAUCGUGAUGGGGACGCCGACGCCGCUGAGCAGCAUCUCGGUGUACACGGUGAACGAGGCCGACUACCUGUCGCCGGCGCAGCGCGCGUCCGCCACGGGGGCGCCCGGCGUGGGCAUCAACGCGCUGGGGCACCGCGGCAAGUUCGCCAACUCGUACGCGGCGGAGGUGUGGGUGCUGAUGCGGCGCAACUUCACCAACAUCUGGCGCACGCCGGAGCUGUUCCUGUCGCGGCUGAUGGUGCUGACGGUGAUGGGGUUCCUGAUGGCCACCAUGUUCACCAAGCCCAAGGACAACACGCAGGGCAUCACCAACCGGCUCAGCUUCUUCAUCUUCACCGUGUGCGUCUUCUUCUUCUCCUCCAACGACGCCGUCCCGGCCUUCAUCCAGGAGCGCUUCAUCUUCAUCAGGGAGACCUCGCACAACGCGUACCGCGCGUCCGCGUACGUGGUCGCCGGGGUGAUCACGUACCUGCCCUUCCUCCUGCUCCAGUCCGCCGCCUACGCCCUCAUCACCUGGUGGGCCAUCGGGCUCCACGGCCAGUUCGUCUACUUCCUCGUCAUGCUCUACGCCUCGCUCCUCUCCACCAACUCCUUCGUCGUCUUCAUCAGCUCCAUCGUGCCAAACUUCAUCCUUGGGUACGCGGCGGUGAUCGCGUUCACGGCGCUCUUCUUCCUCUUCUGCGGCUACUUCGUGGACAGCCAGAGCAUCCCGCAGGGGUGGAAGUGGAUGAACACCGUGUCCACGAUGAAGUACCCGUACGAGGGCCUCCUGAUGAACGAGUUCGGCGGGACGCGCAUCUUCUCCUCGAACCCGCCGCUCGACGGCAACGCCAUCCUCGAGAACCUCACCAUCAGCGUGCACAAGGACCGCAAGUGGAGGAUGGUGCUCUACCUCCUCGGCUGGGCCGUCUUCUACCGCGUGCUCUUCUACCUCGUCCUCCGCUUCGCCUCCAAGAACAAGAGGAAGUAG